rnacentral:rRNA from 1 species
GUAGGGAAUCUUGCGCAAUGGGCGAAAGCCUGACGCAGCCAUGCCGCGUGAAUGAUGAAGGUCUUAGGAUUGUAAAAUUCUUUCACCGGGGACGAUAAUGACGGUACCCGGAGAAGAAGCCCCGGCUAACUUCGUGCCAGCAGCCGCGGUAAUACGAAGGGGGCUAGCGUUGCUCGGAAUUACUGGGCGUAAAGGGAGCGUAGGCGGAUAGUUUAGUCAGAGGUGAAAGCCCAGGGCUCAACCCUGGAAUUGCCUUUGAUACUGGCUAUCUUGAGUGUGGAAGAGGUAUGUGGAACUCCGAGUGUAGAGGUGAAAUUCGUAGAUAUUCGGAAGAACACCAGUGGCGAAGGCGACAUACUGGUCCAUUACUGACGCUGAGGCUCGAAAGCGUGGGGAGCAAACAGGAUUAGAAACCCGGGUAGUCC